rnacentral:rRNA from 1 species
UCGUGUCGUGAGAUGUUGGGUUAGGUCCCGCAACGAGCGCAACCCUCACCUCUUGUUGCCAUCAGGUCAUGCUGGGCACUCUAGAGGAACUGCCCCGGUCAACGGGGAGGAAGGGGGGGAUGACGUCAAGUCAUCAUGCCCCUUACGUCCUGGGCUACACACGUGCUACAAUGGCCGGUACAAAGGGAUGCCACACCGCGAGGUAGAGCUAAACCCAAAAAGCCGGUCUAAGUUCAGAUUGGAGUCUGCAACUCGACUCCAUGAAGGAGGAAUCGCUAGUAAUCGC